CCAAACUGUUGCCUCGGCGGGGUCACGCCCCGGGUGCGUCGCAGCCCCGGAACCAGGCGCCCGCCGGAGGGACCAACCAAACUCUUUUCUGUAGUCCCCUCGCGGACGUUAUUUCUUACAGCUCUGAGCAAAAAUUCAAAAUGAAUCAAAACUUUCAACAACGGAUCUCUUGGUUCUGGCAUCGAUGAAGAACGCAGCGAAAUGCGAUAAGUAAUGUGAAUUGCAGAAUUCAGUGAAUCAUCGAAUCUUUGAACGCACAUUGCGCCCGCCAGUAUUCUGGCGGGCAUGCCUGUCCGAGCGUCAUUUCAACCCUCGAACCCCUCCGGGGGGUCGGCGUUGGGGACCUCGGGAGCCCCUAAGACGGGAUCCCGGCCCCGAAAUACAGUGGCGGUCUCGCCGCAGCCUCUCCUGCGCAGUAGUUUGCACAACUCGCACCGGGAGCGCGGCGCGUCCACGUCCGUAAAACACCCAACUUCUGAAAUGUUGACCUCGGAUCAGGUAGGAAUACCCGCUGAACUUAAGCAUAUCAAUAAGCGGAGGAA
rnacentral:rRNA from 2 species